UUGGGAUUUUGAAUCCGGAUUCGGGCUUAGAGGGGUCGACAAGGCCAAGUAGGGGAUUUUCCCCUUUUUCGACAACCGUAGAUGGUGGUGCCAUUGCCGAAGACUGCAGCCAGCGCGGUGGCCGAUGAUCGACCGAUGCCCGGGCCCUGGCCGGACGACUUGGGGGGGAAGAGUGUUUGGAGAGCUUUUUUUUGUUUUUUUUUAAAGAAUGAAAGAAUGAAAUUUUUUGUAAUUAAUUUUGGCUUAAAUAGCCUAUUGAAAACGUCGUCGUUUAGGCUUGGAUCGACCCGAAACCGACCGAACUCGACCUAGGAUCCACGUGUUUUUAUGCGGACGGGCAAAUUACGCUUUUAGCCCCUCCGCCUUUUAAU
rnacentral:lncRNA from 1 species